rnacentral:lncRNA from 1 species
GGAGCCAACAGAGUGAGAUGAAGGGGACAACUUCAGAUACUCAGGCAGAAGCAUAAGUCCCCACCUGCUGACCUGCUGCCUGCUAUCUUAACACGAAUUCUUCAUCUGAAUCGAUGAGCUUUUCACAGAGUUCCAAACUAAGGAAUCCAGGAGUGGCCAAUCCAGAGAUUCAUUCCUUAUCUUUGACGAACAUCUGAACUCCUGGCUCAUCCUGUGGAAUUCAGGCCAUACAGGAGAUCAAGGUCAUUUGCUUUGGGUUAAAUGAAUGUUGCCAGGUGGAGGUUGCUAGAGGGAGGGUGCUAUGUGAAAGUGCUGUAUAAACUGCUUGCUUUUCACAAACAGUAGUGAUUCUUUAUCCUGUCCAGCCUGCCACAACUGGACCAUCCUGUAUGUAAGUCCCCUUAAUAAAUCCUGUGUCUCAUUCACUGGC